rnacentral:misc_RNA from 1 species
GCAUUAUUACCUAAGCCCGAAAAGACCCCUCUAGGUCUUACAAAGGUAGCAAUUGUCGUUACUCCAUUUCUAACCCUUGGUACAAUACUUGGAAGAGAAGGUGCGUCGUUUCUGGAGGAAAGCGAAAUCUUUGUUCCUGAUGAUGACGACGAUUAAUUCAACUACUGCAAGAAAUGUUGAAUUUGUGAAGGUACAUGAAAGGAAUUUCUUUGGACCUUACAGUGACAUAACAGAAGUAGAUAUUUCGUUUUUCGAUUCUACAUGGAUUCAACUUUCCUAUUAUGCUUUCACGUAUUGACUGUUUGUAAAGGAUAUCCAAUAAACUUACCUAUACUGUACACUAUUAGUAAAAGUAUUUAUUAAUUAAAAUUCUUUUAAUUGAAUAUC